UUGAGGGCCGUCCAUGCGCCGGAUGCUUCCCACCCACCGCCGCGGAAGGGCAGGGUCGAAGGCCGGCGGCUGCUGGCCACCGUGGUGCGGCCACGUUGCUCGGCGCCCUGUCGAAGGUUGCUGAGCAAGCGACACGUCUGCGGGGAGUGAGGAGCGGAGGUGGUGGUGCUGCUGUCCGCUUGUCACUGAGGUACACUGAGUAUGGAGGGGCCAGAUGAGGAGGCUGAGCAAAGCCAUUGCUACAGAUAGCAAAGCAGUGUGUCUCAUUCCCGGUGACAUUGCUUUGGAGAGGCAAAGGAGAAACACCAAAUUCUAAGAACUGAUGGAGGUAGAACACGAACAAGAGUUAAGAAACUCUGGCAACUUAAUGGCAUGAGAAAAAAAUGAGGAAAGAAGGUGCUUGUUAGAAGGUAUGGAUGCUUUCCAGAAGUGCAAGUCAGCUCAAAACAACUUACAGCAAAAAUUUACAGGAUCCAGACCUUGCUGGAAUCCUCAUUUUUGGUUUGUCAAGUAAAGGUGUAUAAUGGAGCAUGCUACAAAAUUGCUUAAACUGUGGUAUGAAAAGAAAUGUUGUCUUGCCUUCCAAAUGCAUGCUCUACUUCAGCAGUGGCUAAGAACAUAGCUGUUUUUUCUGGGUAGGCCUCAUGUUUUCUGGGACUUGCUUCUAAAAUAAUAACAAGUAAUAGAGGUUUUCCAAAGUAUGCUAACAACUUGUAAGCCAACACAAGCAAUGCCACUGGUUCCUAAUAAAGUUCCAGUUUGUCUAGUAUCUUGUCAGUGCCUGCCACUGUUUUUGUUGCAGUGUUUCUGAUGUAGGCAUGACCAAAUUCCUCAAGACAUUCAGAAUUAGAGUUAUAUUUC